rnacentral:rRNA from 1 species
AGUGAGCGCUGGCGGUAGGCCUAACACAUGCAAGUCGAACGGCAGCACAGUAAGAGCUUGCUCUUACGGGUGGCGAGUGGCGGACGGGUGAGGAAUACAUCGGAAUCUACUUUUUCGUGGGGGAUAACGUAGGGAAACUUACGCUACUACCGCAUACGACCUACGGGUGAAAGCAGGGGAUCUUCGGACCUUGCGCGAUUGAAUGAGCCGAUGUCGGAUUAGCUAGUUGGCGUGGUAAAGGCCCACCAAGGCGACGAUCCGUAGCUGGUCUGAGAGGAUGAUCAGCCACACUGGAACUGAGACACGGUCCAGACUCCUACGGGAGGCAGCAGUGGGGAAUAUUGGGCAAUGGGCGCAAGCCUGAUCCAGCCAUGCCGCGUGAGUGAAGAAGGCCUUCGGGUUGUAAAGCCCUUUUGUUGGGAAAGAAAAGCAGCAGAUUAAUACCCCGCUGUUCUGACGGUACCCAAAGAAUAAGCACCGGCUAACUUCGUG